CCGUCUGUUACUUAUGUCACCUUGGCGAAAAACGACGCCCGAGAGUAUUGAUGGAGCUCUGUGACUAAGUGUACUAUUGGAGGUUAUGUGGGAUGGAGUGAAUGACUUAGAAAUGAUUCGACUGACUUGUAAUUGACUAGGUCGAUUGAUGAAUGAUUUGAUCUGAGUGUGAUUCAAUGUGAUUGAUCAUUGCCUUGAUAUGAUGCUGUGAAUUGAUUGAUUGGAUGGAAAUGACCAUGAGUGGUCUUAUUGACAUGUAAUCGACUAAGUCGAUUUGAUUGAUGCUUCGAUCUAUGAUGUGAUUGCUUGGGUGCCUAUUGAUUUGUGCUAAUAUGCAGGUGGAAUUUGAGGCCAAGGUAAGUCAUCUGACUCACGUUGUGCAUAGGCAGCCCUAAGGUGUAUUAGUUUACUAAUCGGGUCUUAGGGGGUAGAACUUGCUGAAACGUUGUCUCAGUAGUUAUUGAAUAACCAUUUCAGGACCUGGAUGAGGAGUCUAAGGAGUAUGAAUCUGAUGAGGAGAUCCCUGUUGAGGAACCUGAAGAGGAGUACGUGGAGGAGGACCCCGAGGAUAACCCCGAGUAUGAUCUGGAUGAGGAUUGGGAUCCCGUCCUGUCUUGUCAAACCUUGUGUGCAUGUGAAUAGAUGUUAGACCUGAAGUGUAUAUAUAUACAUAAGGAUGUGGUUUUCAGGUUCAGGUUUCUAGUCCUACUUGUAUAUCCCAUUGCUUUAUUGUCUGGGGAUUGUUAUAACUACUUCCGCAUGUGCUAUUAAAAAUGACAGGGUCGGCGAUAUGUAGUCCUGAGGAUAUCGCAUAAUAAAAUCGACCAAGCUUGAAGGAUGGUCACGUGACCGAGAGUCGGGGCGUGACAAUGGGUGUCCUAAGAUAAUAUGUUAUUGACAAGUUAAAAGCUUUAUCAAAUCUGGCAGUGAUGCAAAGUGGUCAUUUAUAAA
rnacentral:lncRNA from 1 species